GUUUGGUAUCAGGCAAGCGUCUUUGCCCAUAAGCCAUCUUUCUGGGCUGUACUGCAUCAGACCCCCGGGGAAUGUCAGGAGAAGAGGUGAGAUGGGUGGAAACCAUAGGCACCCACUCAAACCUUGAACUCAGAGGCCUGAGAGCGUCGGUCCUCGGGGGCAUCUGUGCAUCUCAGGGGAAGUCUGUGCUUCCCUAUCAGGAAAGUCAGAGGAAGGAACCAGCCGUGGGGGAACCCAGACCCUUCAUUUCCUCUUCUACUUCCCCCUCACCAGCCUCAUGAUGGGGAAUUCCACCAUCUCCCAACAGCAGAAAACCCAACCAAACCUGCUUCUUUUUCUCCCCCUUAAUAUUUAAAGCCAAGCAGAUCUUGAGUGAUCAGCAUGUAACCUGCCUUUCCUUUUAACCUGUGCUACAAGGAGGUAGUGAUAGACAUGAUGAUGGAAUUUUAUUUAAUAGAACUAAUUCCAAAUGCAUUCCCUUUGUUGUUAUUAUUACUACUAUUUAGUGUGUGUGUGUGUUUGUAUGUGGUGUGUGUGUGUGUGUGUG
rnacentral:lncRNA from 14 species